CCUACGGGUGACAGCAGUGAGGAAUAUUGGUCAAUGGGCGAGAGCCUGAACCAGCCAAGUCGCGUGAAGGAUGAAGGAUCUAUGGUUUGUAAACUUCUUUUAUAUGGGAAUAAAAUGUUCCACGUGUGGGAUUUUGUAUGUACCAUAUGAAUAAGGAUCGGCUAACUCCGUGCCAGCAGCCGCGGUAAUACGGAGGAUCCGAGCGUUAUCCGGAUUUAUUGGGUUUAAAGGGAGCGUAGGUGGAUUGUUAAGUCAGUUGUGAAAGUUUGCGGCUCAACCGUAAAAUUGCAGUUGAAACUGGCAGUCUUGAGUACAGUAGAGGUGGGCGGAAUUCGUGGUGUAGCGGUGAAAUGCUUAGAUAUCACGAAGAACUCCGAUUGCGAAGGCAGCUCACUGGACUGCAACUGACACUGAGGCUCGAAAGUGUGGGUAUCAAACAGGAUUAGAUACCCCAGUAGUC
rnacentral:rRNA from 1 species